AUAGAUCCAGUGAUUGGAAGAGUAGAUGUUAUACGAUUUUAAGCGAGCUAGAGUUGGUGUGAGUCUAGUAAAUUGAUAGCAUUGAACCGCAUCCAUGAGGAUAUGUUCUGAAUCGUGUAGGAACAUACGGCCCCAACCGUUAAUGGAAGCGGAUAUGUAAUCAUAUCAAUUAGAGUGGUACCGCGGGUUUGUUUAUAACUCGUCUCUUGA
rnacentral:ncRNA from 1 species